GUAAAACCAGAUUUAGUUAGUUGUAAGUCAGCGUUUAAACAUCACACCCAAAGUUAUUAAAAGAAAACAAGGAAUAAUCUAUCGACCACCAUUUACCAAUUGCCACUAACAAGCAUGGUAGCGACCAAAGCUCAUCGUAAUACUGAUUCAACGUACAACCGCUAUUGCCCUUGCAUGCUCUUCCCGGUUAAGAAUUCAGCUGCUUCUCCUAUAAUUUGGCGCAAUGCAAGAUGAGCCAAGUGAUCUAUUUUCCGGCAAGCUGAAGCAGAUUUUUAUGAACGAAGCUUAUCCCGCCGUCGACCUUCUAUCGUGCCCAGCACUGACGCUGCAUUCCAUCGUCCCAUGCGAGGCACACUCCGCCUUUCCAGACCAAUGUCGUGCAGCCGUCCGGGCGACGUUCAGAUGUAUAAGCGGUUUAACUGAUGAGGCAAUAACGAUGGUGAAAACUGUGACAGACAACAGUUGGAGCAGCUGCAGUUGCAGCAGUUUGUAGUUGCGCAAAAGCCAGAUGUGAUGAAUGGGCGCCGACACCGGUUCGGCAGAAAGGUGGAUGCGUCAAUGAUUAUGCACUUGUCACAUUAUUUUUUUCGUGCCACUUGUGCUCAUUAGGAACGAUAAGCAAAAGGAGCUACAAUGGGUGCAUCGGCGUCGUUGUUAGGAGUAAUGGAUACCGUCGGGAGAUUCAUGGAUAACCUCUGGUAGAAAGAUGGAUGUCCCUUCCAGUAAGAUGGAUGCCCUUGGGCCGAAACUGGAUGUGCUCUCUGAAAUGUGGAUCACCACUGGUGGAAAGGUGGAUCACUUCGGCAGAAAGGUUGACAACCUAAAGAGAAAGGUUGAUGCACUCUGGCAGAAAGGUUGAUGACCUUUAGAGAAAGGUUGAUGCGCUCUGGCAGAAAGGUUGAUGACCUUCAUUGAAGGUCAACCAUCAACCCGUCAACCUUCCUGCCGGCUACAGCCGCGCGGCUCCAGUUUCACAGGCGCACCACCGGAUACAAAUCCCCUGCAAAAGAUCCUGUUUAACCCUCGGUAACUCGGAUGCCGUCCGGCGGAAAAGGCACAUGAUAGCCCGUGGUGCCCGUAACCACACACGGGUUUGAAUUAUCUGACGCAGUCAGGAGGUUCACAGAUCGUGGCGCCGAGGCGGAGACCGAUGCUGGUCUUCAGUUCGUCCUCGCUCAGCAGCUUACCGAUGUGAGUGCACGGCAGGGCAUUCAACCAGAUGUGGGCUUCUGGCCUAGACGGAGCAAGCAAGCAAGCAAGCUGCGCUGAUUGAUCCUGUCUCCUUGAAACACCUCCAGCAGGGCCGC